rnacentral:rRNA from 1 species
UACAGAGGUCUCAAGCGUUGUUCGGAAUCACUGGGCGUAAAGGGUGCGCAGGCGGCCAGGUGUGUGGGGCGUGAAAGCCCGGGGCUCAACCCCGGAAUUGCACCUCAAACUACAUGGCUAGAGUACUGGAGAGGGAGACGGAAUUCACGGUGUAGCAGUGAAAUGCGUAGAUAUCGUGAGGAACACCAGAGGCGAAGGCGGUCUCCUGGACAGUUACUGACGCUCAGGCACGAAAGCGUGGGGAGCAAAAGGG